AGCUCAGUAACACGUGGCCAAACUACCCUGUGGAUGGGAAUAAUCUCGGGAAACUGAGGCUAAUUCCCAAUAAUGCUCCACCCCUGGAAUGGGUGGAGCUGGAAACGCUACGGCGCCACAGGAUGUGGCUGCGGUCGAUUAGGUAGACGGUGGGGUAACGGCCCACCGUGCCAAUAAUCGGUACGGGUUGUGAGAGCAAGAGCCCGGAGACGGAAUCUGAGACAAGAUUCCGGGCCCUACGGGGCGCAGCAGGCGCGAAACCUUUACACUGUACGCAAGUGCGAUAAGGGGACUCCGAGUGUGAAGGCAUAGAGCCUUCACUUUUGUACACCGUAAGGUGGUGCACGAAUAAGGGCUGGGCAAGACCGGUGCCAGCCGCCGCGGUAAUACCGGCAGCCCGAGUGAUGGCCGAUAUUAUUGGGCCUAAAGCGUCCGUAGCUGGCCGGACAAGUCCGUUGGGAAAUCUGUCCGCUUAACGGGCAGGCGUCCAGCGGAAACUGUUCGGCUUGGGACCGGAAGACCUGAGGGGUACGUCCGGGGUAGGAGUGAAAUCCUGUAAUCCUGGACGGACCACCGGUGGCGAAAGCGCCUCAGGAGGACGGAUCCGACAGUGAGGGACGAAAGCUAGGGUCUCGAACCGGAUUAGAUACCCGGGUAGUCCUAGCUGUAAACGAUGCCCGCUAGGUGUGGCGCAGGCUACGAGCCUGCGCUGUGCCGUAAGGAAGCCGAAAAGCGGGCCGCCUGGGAAGUACGUCUGCA
rnacentral:rRNA from 1 species